GAUUAGUAGAACUGUAGAAAUAGAUUUUUUGCUUUUUGUUUAUUUUUGUGUCCUACUGUAGUCAGUAGGGUUCAAGCCAGAUGGGUUGAUAGUGGAACAGUAUCAUGGAUUCACCCUCAUCUGUGGACUUGAAGACUCACCUCAUCCGAUGGUUGCGUAACCCAUACAUUCAAAUCUCAGUGAUCGCAUAUUCAGUGCUCCUAGUUGCAUCACUUGUCUGCUGGUAUUUUUACUGCUUUUGGCUGCAGCAAAGAAAGGAGAGGGCAGACAGGCGCAAUCAAAUCACACCCGAGUGUCCUGCGGAUAUUUUCCAGUCAUCCAUUGAUGGAGGAGAAGAAGAAUGGGCAGGCCCACCAGCCUAUGAAGAAGCGAUUCACCUGCCCCCAGUGACCAGUUCAGACAGACAGCUCAAAGUAGAGAGUGAGGGCAUAGAAGAUACUGAACUACCAUCCUAUGAUAGUGUGGCACAUAUUACCAACACAAGGCUUUGAAAUGCUUUGAAUAUUGAAUACACUUUCGUGUUUGCAGUAGGCAAUGUAAUGGUACUGUUGUCAGAUCUAGUCGCUUUUGUUUGAUGCACGUUAUCGGUGGGUAUAAUUGGAAAAAGAACUUUAUAGCCAAUAUUUGAAUAUCAACUUGCCUCUAGAGAGCUUCCUAGACCACGUAGAAAGACGACCAUGUUCCUUGGUCUUGUGUUAGAAUUUCUAACUUUGAUAUCUCAUGCAGACCUGCAUGAGUCAAGUGGGGCAGCCAAUUCUCUUAACAAGUUCCUCAUCACAGAUGGGUUGUUGCGCAAGGCUGGGCUCAGGGAGAACCACAAUGCUAGUGGUGGACUGCCACCGCCACCAUCUGACAAAGCCAGCACCGGUAUGCCUCCUACAUUCACGCCUAAUGGUAACCAGUCCGAACUGACAACCAAAUGGCUGGUCAGCAGUUUGGAAGGAGUAAAGACAGAACUGAUGCAGCAGGAUGGAGUGACAGGUUUCGAGACAGAAAUAGACAAGAACACGACUGGGAAAGACUCCAGUGAGCUGGUAGUAAACAAGGAGCAUCAUGUCGGUCAGUUUCUUGUAUGCGACCCAGAUUACGAGCGCCACUGCAGCGGCAGCCACUGCGUGCAGAUUUUUGACGGUGCCUCAAGGUGUGUGGUGGACCGGUGUCGUGGGAAGCUUCUCAUCUCCUGCCGGAACGGGCGAGGUUGCUACUCUCAGGUCCAACACUGUGAUGAGGUAGCCGACUGUGAUGACGCGAGCGACGAAAUGAACUGUCUGACUCUGGUGCAAGUACACGAUGAGCGACAUUUCUACACCCGCACCGUGCCCUUCAUAGCCAUCCUCUGUCUGAUGGGAGUAGCGGCUUCCUUCGUCUUAUACCAUCAGACAAAUGCCGCGCGACAACGCCAGCGCCACCUCUCCAUGGUGGGGCUGACAAAUGCGCUCACCACAGCCGGUCUAGCCCAAAGAGCAGAGAGUCACGCUGUUCCCCGCUGGAGGACACGUGAUGGUCCCAGUGAUGGCCUUUUAGGCGACUUGCCGGAGGUGGAACACUUGGACUCUUUGGAGGCUGGUGGUAUUAGCACUCAGCAGCUAGAACAGAUGGGUGGGAACCUGCAUGAUUUUGAACACCUCGUACCUUCAGCACAGCAACUCCAGCUGCUGGCUGGGGAUGUGACCCAGUUCUGUGACGAGCCCCUAGAUGGUACCAUCUAUGCUGGCGAUGGGACCAUCUACGCGGCUGAUGGCCGCUUUCAUGAUGGUUACCGCGGCUUCACCGCAGAUCUCAGCCCAAGUGCCUGCAGCGCUCCCCCGUCCUAUGAGACUGCAUUAGAAAUGGGCACUGUGAUGGAUCGCGACACAAGAUCGCCUGCUGAAGGGACAAUGGAUGGGGACCCGCCUCCUUAUGAGAGUGUCUCCCAUAUCACGUGUACGACCGUUGUCUCAGUGACAGAAGUCUGAGGGUACACUCUGCCCAAGCUGAACUAUGGAUACAACACUCUUUAUAAAAUAUUGUAUUAUGUUUCAUUGUCUAAUACAUAUGAAUAUUCGUGGCAGCGCAGUUUGCAGCAUGGCACUGUAGCUAGCAGUAUAUUUGCUUCCCGAUGUUGAUACAAAAGUGUUUCACCUUUACCAAGGGUACAUAGGAUUCGAGACUACAUUUUUGUAAAUGUUGAAAGUAAGUCCAGAAUAGGAAUAAAAAGUCAUGUUUGUGAUUUGCAAAAACAGGGUUAAUGAAUGUAAAGGACAGAUGGAAAUCUUAAAUUUGCAUUGAAUAGAGUUCAGUGUUCAAACUAGCUCUUAUGACUGCCAUUAAUAUUGUUUGCUUAAUCUUACAACCUUGACCUCUGACCCCAUGAUGGUGUUUGUUACAUCAGACUACCUUGAUGGUCUUGUGGUAGUGUGCUGGUUUUGAAUGCAAAGGAGUAAUCAAGGGAACCAAGAUUCUAGCAGAAAUCAAAAGAAUGUAAUCCAGGGAUAAAGACCAGACAGGGAAAACAGACAAACACAACAAAGACCAUAAAGUAACUAAAAUAAUACAUGUAUACAAAGUCACAAAAGUAAAUGAGCAACUUGGACUCCACUGAAAACUGGGAGCUUGGAUCAGGUGCACCGGUAGAGUAAGCGUCCUCUGCUUUUCUAGAAACACCUGAUGAGUUGCUCACAAAAAGUCAAGUCCAGGGUAGACAAAAGAGGAUAGGAAAACUAUGACACGUUGAACAAAUCAGUUUUUAUGGUGCAGAUGGAUACACUGUAACGAUCCACGAGUGUGAUGACCAUAAAACUUCUGCAGUGAUGAUUUCUAUCUUGUAGCAACAAAGGUUGUUUUAUUCUGGCUGAGUCAGGCCAAAGACUUUACACUAGUAGUCAAUUCUUCUCUGACAAGUAUGGGGCUAUACAAUGGUGCAUUUGUUUUGUUUAACCAUAUUUGUUCCCUUUUCUAUAAGAGAAAGAGUGAUAAUUUGUUGGCUUAGAGUCAGAAUAAGUGUGUUGACAUGCCUACCUGCAGGAUGUUGAUUUUGUGAGCUAUGACAAUAACAAUCCAGCUCAGUGUGUCAGACUAGUACAAAGCAGGGUCUGUUUUAUUGGCUCAGCCUGUCAGACUUUCCAAAUCAUGGUCUGUUUGAUUGAUCAAGUGUUCUUUUCCUGAAAAGCAUGAAAUAUCUCCCAAAGAAGGGGUAUAGCGCCUAUUAACAAUUUUUGUUGGUACGACAUGCAGGACCUAAACUUUUAAUUUUGGGCUGCUACGCCUUUGCAAAGGACCAAAACUACAAUCGAUCGAUUUUGCCUAAGUGGUAUUUUAGAAAAUUUCAUGUCCACCAGAUAGAACCUGGUUCCAUAACAGUGCUUGGCAUCAUGGGUAAAAUAGACCAAGUAGAUUCGGUGUCGGGAAGUCUGAAGUUGCUAUGACGACAAGGAAGAUAACUGUGAUAAGACCUGUGAUUUUUUUCACUGUGCUUUUCUAUGGCAGUAAUCUGUGCAGUAAUGUGUCUAUUUUAAGAUAUAUUGUAAUCGGUGUUUGGUAACUGGACGCGGUGUUGUUUCAAGCUUCCCAAAGCUUCUUGUUUAAAUGGUAGAACCAUUAUAAAAUAGUCUUCAUGAUGUACACUCAGAAAAUGUGAUGGUAUAGUUUUCUGCUUAUUUUAAUAACUUUUAAAAAAAUGGCAAAACAAAGCAUCAUUUAGUUAUCAUAUUUAUUGUUAACUUUCUACAUUUGAUGGCAAGUGUAUUAAAUAAGACAUAAUAUAAACAAACUUUUUUUGGUGCGCAAUUUAUUUUCUGUUAUUUCAUGAGAAGAACUAAUCACAUAAAUUUAUCAGCCAUAUAAAGUCCCUUUGUUAGGGAAUAUAUGUUAAACAGAGCAUGAGUCACAAAAAAUAAAUAGCAGCAAAGUAAAUAUCCUGAAAUGCAAAAAUAAGUAUCCACAAAAAUUCAUUUUUUUCAUGUUAUUUUCCAUUUAAUCCAUUGUUGAUGGAAUUGGAAGGCCGUUGACCCUGGAGAUCAGGAAUCUAAAUUAAUAUCAUCUGUGGUGCAGUCCAAGAUUGUGAUAAGUGGACCCUUAACUGAAUGGCACUAGGUCCUUUAGAAGAAGGGGAUAUUAACUUAUGGCGGGUGUAAAAUUUUGCGAUUUGAGGAAAAAAAUGUUAAUGAAAAAUUUGGGCGUUACUGAUUUGGGAAGGUGCAUGUAAUUAGUGGUGCGCUAAAAUAAGCAUCCUUUGAAAACUACCCACUAUACAGUAUCAAUGGAGUCUGAGAGAUUUAUUUCUGAAAAGAUUAUAGAAAUCUCUGUUGGUUUGGGUUAUGCAGUUUUACAAUCUACAUAUAGUCCCUAAAAUUAUACAUGUAUAAUUUAUUCUGCUGUCUGAUUUUUCAGAUUUUGGUUAAGGUAUUUCUUUAUUAUAUAUUUGUAAUGAAUUGUACAAGUUCAAUUAUCUAUAAAGGUGGUUGAUUGUUAUUUAUAUGUUACAUGUACAUGUAUGUUUUGUUAUUUUAUUAUCCUCUUUGCCUUCAUAUUGGUCAUGAAAAUUUGUGGACAAAAUAAUUUUAUUGAUAUUUGUGUAUGAAACACAACUCAGCUCUUUAGUAAAUGGCAUGGAUGGGGAUAUUAUUUUCAUGAAUAAGCAUUUUCUUGUGAUUCCCUGAACCAAGAAAGAAGAAACUUAUAUGGUUUUUGAUUAUAAAUUAAUUUCUAUAUUUGAUUCUUAAUAUUUUGUUUUAACUUAAAUCAGAAGAUUUUCAUACUCAAUAAAUUUCAUCAUUUAGGACAUGUAGGAUAUCAGUAUUUGCAUGUAUGUUCUGUCUUCAGCUAUUCGAGAGAAGGUAUACAGGGGCGUAUCCAGGAUUUCGGGUUCGAAGGCGUAUAUAGAAUUAAAGGCCAAGCCAAGCAAGGCAAGACAAUUUUUGGGAUAGAAUAUGCCAAAAAUCAAAAUUUCACGUAAAAAAAAUGUUUCCAAAAUUUUUUUUUGAGUGGGAAGGGGGUGGGGGGCUACACUGGGCAUACCUCUCCUUGGAUCUGUGCCUGGUAUAUUUCUUUUUGAACUAUAAAACUUUUUCUUAAAAUGAAAAAAAAAACGAUUCCAGUUAAAUUGUGUUAUAUAAAAAAAAUACACUUCAAAUUCUGCUUUUAUUAUCUCUGGCUUAUAUAGUUAAAUCAAAGAACUAAUGUAAUGAAUUAAUUUAAGGAUAUAUUUAUUGUAACAGUCCUUUGGCUCAUGAAAUAUAUUACUAUUUUGAAAACUUAAGAAUCAGCAUCCUUCAAUAAAUUUGAAUCUAGAUUACAUUUAGCAUCAUUAGAUCAUUACAAAAUUCUAAAAAAUCUAGGCCUAUUUUUGAUAUUCAAAGUCAAAGGUCUGAGAAAAGGGGAAAGUCUAGCUUUGCAAUUAAUUCACUGUGCAGUUAAUUGGUUUAGCCUUCAGUGUCAUGUGAGCAAUUCGUGUCAUGUGACUUCAUUGUCAUGUAAACAAUUAGUGUUAUAAUUUAAUUAAGGUGCCUGUCUUAUUUUGAGUGGAUGAUUGUAUUCUGUUAAUGAAUGUGGCUUAAUUUAUUUGUAAUAAAACAAUUAAUACUCUAA